rnacentral:sRNA from 1 species
CGUCACCGACCCGACCGCCUGCCCGGUGCCGGGUCAUGGCAUCAACCCGAUAGCCGCCGGCUCGCCCGAUGU